UGUAUGCCAGGUCCACGCUGGACUCAUUGUUUACAUGCACUGAAUGAGGACAAGCUUUUUGAGCAGAUCCUGAGGAACAUGGUGGGCCGGCGGAGACCCAGUAGCCAGAUGUAGCUGCUGCCAGCCCUACAGGAUCUACACUGACUACUGAGCAAGCGCCGGGCCUCCAGUGAUAGAACCCCGCCACUACUCCGCAGUCCAGGGGGGAGAAUCAUGGCCUGCUGGAGCGCCGUUCCAUCGAAGAACCGCAUGGACGCAAACUUGUGAAUCCUAGAAAACACAAAAAUACUUUUAGAGAUGGUGGACACAUUCUGGCUGAAAUGGUGUCAAGAAGACAAAGGGGGAUCUGGCAGCGGUCCAGCAGAGAGGUAUGUGAACUCUGCUUGGCCCAGACGCCCCCCAGCCC